AGUUUUGUACACUGGGGGAAACCCUGAUCCAGCCAUCCCGCGUGUAUGAUGAAUGCCUUCGGGUUGUAAAGUACUUCUGGCAUAGAAGAAAAGAUAUCCCCUAGUACGGCAUACUGCUGCCGGUAUCUGCAGAAUAAACACCGCCUAGCUACGUACCAGCCGCCGUGGUAAGACGUGCGGUGGAAGACUUAAUCGAAAUUACUGGGCGUAAAGCGUGUGGAGCGCGUUCGGAAAGAAAGAUGUGAAAUGCCAGGUCUCAACCUUGGAACUGCAUUGUUAACUGCCGAGCUAGAGUAUGUCAGAGGGGGGUAGAAUUCCACGUGUAGCAGUGAAAUGCGUAGAUAUGUGGAGGAAUACCGAUGGCGAAGGCAGCCCCCUGGGAUAAUACUGACGCUCAGACACGAAAGCGUGGGGAGCAAACAGG
rnacentral:rRNA from 1 species